CCUACGGGAGGCAGCAGUGAGGAAUAUUGGUCAAUGGACGAGAGUCUGAACCAGCCAAGUAGCGUGAAGGAUGACUGCCCUAUGGGUUGUAAACUUCUUUUAUAUGGGAAUAAAAUGUUCCACGUGUGGGAUUUUGUAUGUACCAUAUGAAUAAGGAUCGGCUAACUCCGUGCCAGCAGCCGCGGUAAUACGGAGGAUCCGAGCGUUAUCCGGAUUUAUUGGGUUUAAAGGGUGCGUAGGUGGAUUGUUAAGUCAGUUGUGAAAGGUUGCGGCUCAACCGUAAAAUUGCAGUUGAAACUGGCAGUCUUGAGUACAGUAGAGGUGGGCGGAAUGCGUGGUGUAGCGGUGAAAUGCUUAGAUAUCACGAAGAACUCCGAUUGCGAAGGCAGCUCACUGGACUGCAACUGACACUGAGGCUCGAAAGUGUGGGUAUCAAACAGGAUUAGAUACCCGAGUAGUC
rnacentral:rRNA from 1 species